CAAAUAUACAAAUUGUGUUAGCAAAAUUCCUUUCUAAUGUUAAACAACCACUGCACAACGUAUUCAGUAUGGACUGUUCUGAGAGUAUGGUGCAAUGGCACAAGUAUUAUAAUUGUACAAAACCAAUUAAGCAUUCAGUCAAAGGUUAAAGUGUUCAUUCUAAUAUUUAACAUAAAUUCAAUUAAUCUAUUUUCCAACCUUCUUAAUCCAAUCUCAGAUUUGCAGGCUAAUUAACUUCUGGAAUUAAAAUAAUUUCUGAUUAGCCCAGAAUUAAAUGUAUGAUAUUGCAUGACAGGCAACAACCUGCAUAUAUCACAAAUUCUGUACUGGGAU